GUCUAACUGUCAUUGGAUGGGAUUUUGAAUGGGUACAUCCACUGUCAAUCAAAUGAAACCGGAAGAAAGGUUCAUUAUGAAAACAAUGUGUACCGGAUAGCGGUGUGUCCUUACCGUGCCGUUACGCCAUGCCAACUUCCCCGGUAAAGACGCGGAUCCCGCUCACGAGCUUCGGUCAUCUGAUCACCGAGGUGAAGAGACAGUUGUUUGGUAUGGAGGCUCCAGCCACUGUUAACCUGACUGGAUGGAGGAGACAUUUCAACAGCUACACACUACAGGGGAGACGCAACUUUGUCCUGGCUACCUAUGGUGUCCUAGCGUUGUCGGCAGCAGCCUAUAUGAUACGCCAUCGGAGUAAAGAGGACCCAAGAGUAGCCAGCCCCACUGCCUGACUGAAAAGACUGACUCUCAAUAUCAAUGUCCCAACACUUUAUUGGCCUGAUAUUCACAUUGAUUUCCAAUACUACCGAAUCAGAGAUUCAUAACAGCAGCUCUCUCUCUCUCUCUCUCUCUGUCUCUCUGUCUCUUCUGCUCCCUCCCUCCCUCUCUCUUAUUCUCUCUCUCUCUCGGUGUAUGUAAAUGUUAAUAAAUAGAGUUUAAUCCAGUCACGA